rnacentral:rRNA from 1 species
AUGGGCUUCACGGUGUGCGACCCUGUGCACCGUCGCUAUAUCAUGCUGCCGGCCAUUCCCGUUGACCUGAACGCGCUGGUCCAUAAACGGGAACUCCUCGAUGUGGAGACUUUCCUUUCUCCCGGUGAGGACAAGAAGGACCCCUUGUCAUUCAGGGUGAUAUGCUUGGCGCAAUGCAGAAUGAAUCUGUUGCUUCUGGUCUUCUCCUCACUGAAUGGACAAUGGCAUGUUCUUACUUAUGACCAAUGGGGUGCGUCGGCCACACUUGCUUCAUUUGUAAAUUCUGAUCCUGGGCUGUCAAGUCGUCAAUUCGUCCGUGGAUGCUUCUAUUGGCAUUUGCAAUUGCAGAACAAAUUACUUGUGCUUGACUUGCGCGCAAUGGAGUUUUCUACUGUCAACCUCCAAUCUGAGUCACUAGGGAGUAAAAGAUUUGUCCUUGUCGAGGCAGAAAAAGGAAUGCUCGGGAUGCUCACUACACGUAACGGCUAUGAUAAGGACAUCAAAGAUCGCCGAAUUUGGCUCGCGUAUUCCAUUCUGACAAAUAACCAAUGGCAUGUGGAGAAGGUCAUCCGGUUACUGGUAAAGGAUGUGCAUCUAGUUGGUGCAGCCGGGGGAUUCCUGCUCAUGUACACGGUGUACUUAAAAUCUUCACGAGACAAGCUGGAGUUUCGAUACUUUUCGGUGGACCUUAAGACUUUCCAGGUCGAGUUGUUCGCUGCACUUUGUAAGCACUUACCUGGAGGACCGUACGCUGAUUUCCCAAACCCACCUGGACGACCAUACGCUGGUUUCCCACCAUCACUGUGUGCGCCAAAUAUAUGA